ACAGCCAUCCCGCGUGAAGGAUGAAGGCCCUAUGGGUUGAAACUGCUUUUUCGCAGGAAUAACACCCCUGACGUGUCAGGGGCUGACGGUACCGCAUGAAUAAGCACCGGCUAACUCCGUGCCAGCAGCCGCGGUAAUACGGAGGGUGCAAGCGUUAUCCGGAUUUAUUGGGUUUAAAGGGUGCGUAGGCGGAUAUUUAAGUCAGUGGUGAAAUCCUGCAGCUCAACUGUAAAACUGCCAUUGAAACUGAAUAGCUUGAGUGAACUUGAGGUAGGCGGAAUGUGUAGUGUAGCGGUGAAAUGCUUAGAUAUUACACAGAACACCGAUUGCGAAGGCAGCUUACUAAGGAUUUACUGACGCUGAUGCACGAAAGCGUGGGGAUCAAACAGGAUUAGAUACCCUGGUAGUCCACGCCGUAAACGAUGAUAACUCGCUGUUGGCGAUACACAGUCAGCGGCUUAGCGAAAGCGUUAAGUUAUCCACCUGGGGAGUACGCUCGCAGGAGUGAAACUCA
rnacentral:rRNA from 1 species